UGGGAUAGCUUAGUUGGUAGAGCAUGAGACUCUUAACCCAUCGGUCAUGGAUGCUUUCGUUUAGAUUCCUGCAUUUCAGGGGCUUGGACUGGAUGACCUUUGGGGUCCCUUCCCAUUCUACAAUUCUGUGAUUCUAUGAUUUCAGGGUUGUGGGUUUGAGCCCCACAUUGGGUGAAAG